GAUGGCAAAUGUUCGGAGAUGACUAUGAAAACACCUCUCUAUAUCCUCGAUUUAAAAGAGAGAUUGAGAGGGAUCAAGAAUCCUAAAUGUCUUAGGGAGAAAUGCUACAAAAGAAGAGAUAAAAGGUUGUUGGGCCUCUCCUACUCUGUGGGCAAGGAGGAAAAAUUCUUCUUUGAACCUGUGAAACCAAGAAUCUAUGGAAUGUGGGCAAGGAGGAAAAAUUCUUCUUUGGAACCUGUGAAACCAAGAAUCUAUGGAAUGGAGAUCCCUUUGAAAUUCUUGGCCUCCUUUGGUUCAUAG
rnacentral:rRNA from 1 species